rnacentral:rRNA from 1 species
CGUAGGUGAACCUGCGGAAGGAUCAUUGUCGAAACCUGCCCAGCAGAUAGACUAGCGAACACGUAACGGGGGUCGCCUCCCCCGAGCUGUGGGGGUCCCCGGCACAAAAACGAACCCCGGCGCGAAAAGCGCCAAGGAACAUAAACUCAAAGUGUGCGCCCGCCCGCGCCCGGUUUCCCGGUGCGUGGGCGCGGUGCCAUGUCUUAACAAUAAACGACUCUCGGCAACGGAUAUCUCGGCUCUCGCAUCGAUGAAGAACGUAGCGAAAUGCGAUACUUGGUGUGAAUUGCAGAAUCCCGUGAACCAUCGAGUCUUUGAACGCAAGUUGCGCCCGAAGCUUCUGGCUGAGGGCACGUCUGCCUGGGCGUCACGCAUCGCGUCUCCCCCACACCCACUUCGCGUGGACGGGGGAGGAAGAUGGCCUCCCGAGCCCCGCCGGGCGCGGUUGGCCUAAAUAGGGAGCCCCCGGCGUUGAGUUGCCGCGGUGUUAGGUGGUGGCCCGCCCGACCCCUCGCCUCCGCGGGCUCGCAGGACCCUGUACGUUGCCCCGUUGCGACCCCAACCGUUGCGACCCCAGGUCAGGCGGGACUACCCGCU